ACUGUCAUUGAUUUUGUUGUGAACACAGUUUGUUGAUUGUUAAUUGUGACUAAUUUGUGAUUUUGUUUCUUUCACUUUAGUUGUUGUUUCUUUUGGUUUGGUUUUCGUUUUCAAUUUGAUUAACUGUAUUGAUAUAGGAAAAUUAACUAUUGUCUAUUGUUUGCUUUUAAUUGCUUAAUUGUUGGUGAUUAACGGUGUCUUUGAAGAUUAAUUCAGUUUAAGUGAGUAUUGUGACUUAUUCAUGUGUACAGAUUUACUUAUACAAUUAGAAAACUUUAAUAUGGGUUAGUGGUUAAUGUCUGUUGUUUAAGGUUACAGAUUAGAAACACUUUUUAAUCACACACCUCAUUUAAUCAUGAUAGUGAUUUUUUGACAAUGAUUUAGUUUUUAUUUGAAGAGAAAUGAUAAUGAAAGUAAAGAUGAUUGGACAAAAGUUGAGUUUCAACUAUAAAUUAAUAUACCUUUUGAUCAAAGUGAGAAAUUGAUACUUGAUACCACACCUACAAUUACUUGUGAAAAAGAAACAAAUUAUUGGAGAAAAAUUAAAAUCCAGACCAAAUAUCGAGUCCAAAAAAUCAAUCACAUCUCAAACAUCAACAAAUUUCAACCUCUCCUUAGCUAAAUGUUUCUUAAUCCGAUAAACAUCCUCAUCAUUAAGGCCCAAUUCAAUUUUACCGAUAACCGUGGCUGGUUCAACACCCUCCGGAAUUAUGAUAUGAUUAUCUGGAGAUAAACCACCGAUCACCUUUGGCAUGUUAAUUGGGUUAAUUGUUUCACCAAUAGUUUUCUUAUUAUAAACUCGUAUUAAUCGUUUACCAUCUUCCGGGAUAAAAUGUUGAGCCGCUUUCCAAAUGGACUCAAGAAACCAAGGUAUCUCAUAGAUGACCACAUAUUUUACUGACCAGGGCAUAUAAUAUUUAAGAAUCUUAAUAAUUAGAUUAAGAAAAUCAAAGUCAAUAUUAUUCCAGCCAAAUCCUUGUGCAUCAAAUACUAAUCCCCAAGAUCGUUCACGGGAAAAUCGUUGAUCCAUUUUAUCCAUGAAGAAGAUUAAAAAUUGUCUCAAUGAUUUGGAUAAAAUUUCAAUAUUAACAUUGAAUUUACUGCGAACAUACAAAACCGGAUCACCAUCAUUAUCAGUCUAAAUUGUUUAAUUGUUGAUAGAAAGGAAAACAAAAUUCAAACAAUUAGUUGAAGAAAAAAAAACAACAACAAUCAAACUAAAUCAAUAUGAAUGAGAGCGUUAAACAUGAUUAAACAAAAUGAACUUCAAUCCAUUCCAAUUGAUUGAAGUUCAUAAUCAACUUGUUUAUCCAAAUUCUCAACAAUUUAUCCGUAGCAAUUAAUGUUUACCAAUGAAGCAAUUAAACAAAUUGUUUGUUCAAUAAUAAUAAACAAUAUAAAAGAUUCAUUACCUUA